rnacentral:lncRNA from 1 species
UUUACAACGUUAAUGAACGAGUAUGGAUGAUUCGCGCACGUAAUUCAGGCUUAUCCUAUAGGUGCAUGGGAGAUCAUUUUGCGGUGCUGUACUCUGAGAGAUUCAUUCCAUCCGUGUUGACAAUUAAAUCUGUUGUUGAGAAUUCCAAAAAGAUGGCAAUACCAAUCCAGAUUUGAUACCUGUUCAUCACCCAAGUCAAGCUUUACCAGAGGAAGUAAAACUUGCGAUUUGCAUGUCAGUAAUUGAAAAACCCAGAAUUUGUUGUGCCUCAAUCACGCAUAAAUUCCAUGUCAGAAAAUCAUCCGUUUGGAAAACAUUAAGAGAGGAGAACUUCUUCCUGUACAAAAAUCAGUGUCAUCAAGAACUUCUUCCAAAUGAUGAUAAUGAUAGAAGAAUGUUAUUUUAUGGAAAGAUAUUGGACUUUUUAUACAGUGAUGAUAAUAUGCUCUACA